ensembl:lncRNA
GUAAGUCCCAGUCAUCUUAAACUUUCACCUAUAUAGGGUUAAAAUUUGUGAUGGUGCCAGGUAUUAAUGUGAUAAUCAUACCUGAGAAAUUUUAAAUGUCAAAAAAAGUUUUCUGUAUAAAUGGCCAUUGCUGCAUGGUUUAUUUUAGUCUCAAAACUGGCCAAAAAUAGCUUUGUUUUUCUAAUUGGAAAUAGUUCCAAUUUACAGUAAUGUUGCAAGAAUGGUAAACUAAAUCCCAUAUACAUUUCACCUGUGUACAGCAAGUGUGAACGUCGUGCAUGCUUGCUUUCACAGAAGUGUUAACGUGCUUACAGCUUGCCUCUUGAUCCCCAAACACUUAAGCACAUUUCUUUCCAAAAUGGACCUUUAGGUUUUCCCAGUGUUGGUGGUGGCAACUUUGACCACAUGGAUGCAGUGAUGCAGAAUCACUUAUUUUUUCAGUUUUAAUUGUUGGUUAAUUUUAACUUGAGGAAAUUGUGAAUAUGUAAAAUACCCAUACAUCUUGCCAUCAUAGAGGACAGUUUUUAGGUAUGCAGUUAGUGGCAGUACAGCGUUCACUUCGUUGUGCCACAGUCACUACUUUCCAUUUCCAGAGAUCUCAGCCUGCAAAGCUGAAACUACCCUUCGGACAGUAACUCCUUUCUCCUCUCUCCCCUCAGCCUGGCAAGCACCAUUCUACUUUGUCUCCAAUUUCGGCUGCUCUAGGCAUCUCAUGUCUUUGAUCCAUUUUGAGUUAACUUGCAUUUGAUUUAAGGUAAUUGCUCUGUCUAGGACUUCUAGUACUGUUUUAUUAGAAGUCUCAAAAACAGACAUCCUGGGACUUCCCAGUGGUUGAGAAUCUGCCUGCAAUGCAAUGUGGGUUUGAUCGCUGGUCAGGGAGCUAAGACCUCACAUGCCACAGAGCAAGGAAGCCUGAGCACCACAAAUAAAUAGCCUGUGUGCUACAACGAAAGAUCCUGCAUGCUGCCACGAAGACCGGAAGCAGCCACAUCAGUCAGUCCAGUAAAUAUUUUUUAAAUGGGCAUCCUUAACUUUUCCUGAUCUUAGAGGAAGAGCUUUCAGUUUUUCACCACAGAGUAUGAUGUUAUCUGUGGGCUUGUCAUGUAUGGCCUUUAUUAUGUUGUUAUAGUUUCCUUCUGUUCAGUUUGUUGAAUGUUUUUUUUAUCAUGAAGAGAUGUUGAAUUUUGUCAAACACUUUUUCUGCAUCAAUUAGGAUGGUCAUGUGGGUUUUACCCUUUGUUCUGUUAAUGUGAUGUAUCACACUAAUUGAUAUUUGUGUUUUGAACCAUAAAGUACAUAAUUCUUUUAUGUGCUAUUGAAUUUUGUUGGCUAAGAUUUUGUUGAAGAUUUUUUUUUAAACAUUUACUAGGAAAAGCACCAUGAUUUUGUUGCUGUCAUUAACAUUAGUCACAAGGUGAUUAAAAUUUGUGCUUACCUCUAUAUUAAUCGAAUACUGUCCUGUCUUAACGGUUGAAAGCAUGGAACACCUGUGAUAGCUAAUGAAGUACACUCUUGUUUAUAUUGUAUACUG